rnacentral:rRNA from 1 species
AUACGUAGGGUGCAAGCGUUAAUCGGAAUUACUGGGCGUAAAGCGUGCGCAGGCGGUUUUGUAAGACAGUGGUGAAAUCCCCGGGCUCAACCUGGGAACUGCCAUUGUGACUGCAAGGCUGGAGUGCGGCAGAGGGGGCUGGAAUUCCGCGUGGAGCAGUGAAAUGAGUAGAUAUGCGGAGGAAGACCGAUGGCGAAGGCAAUCCCCUGGGCCUGCACUGACGCUCAUGCACGAAAGCGUGGGGAGCAAACAGGAUUAGAUACCCGGGUAGUCCACGCCCUAAACGAUGUCAACUGGUUGUUGGGGAUUUAUUUUCUCAGUAACGAAGCUAACGCGUGAAGUUGACCGCCUGGGGAGUACGGCCGCAAGGUUAAAACUCAAAUGAAUUGACGGGG